rnacentral:rRNA from 1 species
UACGGAGGGGGCUAGCGUUGUUCGGAAUCACUGGGCGUAAAGGGUGCGUAGGCGGGUUCUUAAGUCAGAGGUGAAAUCCUGGAGCUCAACUCCAGAACUGCCUUUGAUACUGAGAGUCUUGAGUUCGGGAGAGGUGAGUGGAACUGCGAGUGUAGAGGUGAAAUUCGUAGAUAUUCGCAAGAACACCAGUGGCGAAGGCGGCUCACUGGCCCGAUACUGACGCUGAAGCACGAAAGCGUGGGGAGCAAACAGG